GGGUCGCUAGCUCAGGGGGAGAGCACUUCCUUGACGCGGAAGGGGUCAUAGGUUCAAUUCCUAUGCGACCCACCA
rnacentral:tRNA from 1 species